rnacentral:lncRNA from 1 species
UGUCUAGAAGAAUGACGAGAGUGGAUGGUUAUGAUUGCUAGGAGAAAUUAUUACUACAUAGGGAGAGAAAAUGUUUUAAUAAAAGAAUUCAGGAAGAACUAGCCAGUGGCUAGGAGAGGGUAAGAAGCUAUUGCAGGGCCAAAAGGGAGCAGCAAAGAAUGCAGGUCAGUUAUGCUUGCUGGUACAAUUACUGAAGAGUUGUACAGAGAAUCAGAAAGAGAUGCUGGAAUGCUCCUAGCUGGUUGACCUUUACAACAGAAAAGACACUGGAAAGAAGAGCAAGCAAAAUUAGAUCAGUGGCUUUCAGUGUUGCUGUCUAGUUUGUUUCACUUUCCAAUUCACAAGAGUUGUGGAAUGUGUAAGCAAGAACCUAACCUUCCCUCGCUCCAGAAAAGCACAACUCUACGAUAAAACUUAACGAGAUAAAAGGAAAAACAGGAGACAAUAAGCAGAAGGUAAAAACUCUUUCACAGGGAAAGGUCCUUAGCCAAAAUAGAGCUUUGCAGGGUGAGC